AGGGCUUGAACCAGGACUGGCUGACAGGGCUUCCAGAUGAGAUCUCAGUAACAUAAACCAGGAGCUCAGGAAACCAGCAGUAAUUCAUCCUAACGAUGGAGACCAUCAACCAUCCUCCCUCUCCAAUUAAAUUCACUUUUGUGAUAAGUCAGAAAAUAAUAAAUUUCCUGAAUGUGACAGUGACGAUUAAAGACGGACCACCUGGAAACAGUCGUUUUCUAUAAACCUACGGAUAGAAACACUCUUCUUGACGCAAGCAGCCAUCACUCCAAAGAUUUAAAGCAAGGACUUCCUUACUCACAAAUGCUAAGAAUAGCACGAAUAACCAGCAAUGCAGAAGAACUACCGGCAGCAUUGGAUGUGGUCAUCAAUAAAUUUAAGCAAAGAGGGUAUGACUCAACACAGCUAUCAAAAACUAAAGAUAAAGUCUUGAAAAUUCCCAGACGUGCACUGCUUCAAACCAGGGAACCAGCCGAUGUUAAAAACAAAUUCAUUUGUUUUUCCACUACCAGUCCCAUUAUUCCAAGAGCCACUAAGGCCCUGUGGCCAAUAGUUAAAACAAAUCCAAAUCUUUUUAGCUUUACACAUACAGAGCCCAUGACAAGUUUCAAGAGAAGUAGAAAUUUUAUGGACCACCUAGUUAAGGCAGACAUCACAGAUUACUCACCAUCUCUAGGCAUAUUUGGAUUUACAAAAAAAACAGGUUGCUACAGAUGCGCAUCCUGUACUACUUGCCAUUAUUUAAUUCCUGGUGCUUCAUUCAAACAUCCGUAUCUGCCGCCGGAGACCAGGGAGGCUUCCCUGGUUGUCAAGACAACCGGAAUCAGCCAAUGGUGGGCGUCGCCAGAAAUACAUCAUCGGAAGGGGGAAACGCCUACCCUGGCCACUUCCACACAGGGGUAUAAGGAGUCCAAGGGACAUCUGCAUUCAGGUCCCUUCAGUUUUAAAUCGUCAUGAGAACUCUGGAUCUUUUACCAUUUUGGACAGAUGAUAUUGUGUAACUUUAAGGCCAAGUAAAUAAAUUCUAUUGGCCCUAAUCAGUUCCUGUGACAGAUGACCUCACACAGAUAGUGACAACAGUCUCCAUCAAACUGCGUUUUCAACUGGAAACAUCUAAAUUCUGGACAAUCUGAGUCGUUCUAAAGUGGAGAUUUAUCCAACCUUUUAAAGACAAGUGGAGACAUUACUCAUAGUAACAAAUCAGAUUCUAGCCAUCAUUGUAUAAACUGUAUUAGACAAAUGAUAGAAUCUGAUUGGAUGCUAUGAGUAACACUUCCACUUGUCCUCUUUAGAAGGUCUUGGAGCUUCCAACUCACUUGUGCCAUACAGUAAAUACAUGCAAACUCAUAUAACAGUAUAAAAACUCAUGUAACGGUAUAUACAGUAUAACACUGUGCACCAAUGUAAGACUGGACUGCAUGGUCUUUUUCUGGAAAUAUUUUUUAGUUACUCACAUAAAGAUGCUGAUUUUGGAAAUGGUAUGUCUAAGCAUACACAGCAAAAUGAUAUGAGUUAACAGCUCAACUAUAUAAUGUACAAAAUGACAAGAGAACUAAUAAAAUCAGAAAGAAACAGAUGCACAAUAAUUGACAAUUUAUGCCCUGAGAGAGCAACACUUCAACAUUUUUAGUAUAUACUGAAGAUGUUGUUCCUGUGAGACAGUGAUUUUAUAAAGGAUGUAUUAUAUGAUGGGUAAUCAUGACUCCCAUAGACAGCUGUAUCUCACUAUACUAGACUCAGAAUGGUGCAUUUCAAACUAAGCAACCUAACACACCCUUUAUGAAGACCCAUUUCAAAAUAAAGAUAGCAAAAUGGUACCUUUUUCCCGUGAUAUCUAAUCUGUGUUCAUAUUUUAAAUGUGAAUACAACAUUAAAAUUAAUUUUAUAUUAUCCCUAUUUCCAAUAUAUAACUUGAAGUUACAUGUUAGGCCACAUAGGAGGAAGAGGCACAUGGACAGCCGGUAUGCCGCCCCUCGGUACACACUGAAACCCAUUAUUCCCCCAUAUGUAGCAUCAGACCUACAGCAGACUGCAAUGUAUCAAAAAAGUUUGACUUGCACCGCCUUUCAAAGCACAUGCAGGUUAUAUUAAAUGUAAAUUAAUUUAAUUAUGCAAAAUCUCUUGUUUAUUUUAAUUUUUUCGUGUUCCUAAAUCCAUAGAACGGAAUUAUACAAAUAAAUGAUUAUAUACAUAUUUGAAAAUAUUCCAGUGAAUUAGAAUAUUUUAAUUGUGAUAUCAGGUCAUUUUUUAAUUAGCUUAGCAAUCCACUUUCCUUUGCCAUUGGCGUUCUUCAAAGUGACAUUUUACUUUCCCAUAGACUUUUGAACACCAUGCCUCAAUCACUCUGCAUUCAGACGGGUGUAUGUAAAAUUCCAUUCAGACACACUACGGGAGAAUGCUUUGUUUUUACCAAAGCUCAUAUUGAUUACACAAAAUGUGUUAAUGAAAAUAAUUACAAUUAAGCUUCACAAAGAGCAGUUCUUUUAUGUGUUGAUGAGAUUGUACCAUACUCAAUGGUAGACAAUUAACUCAUGACAAAAUUAAUGUGCAGAAUUUAGAAAGCUACAUCUGAAUUAAAAACUUUGGAUUUUUUUUGUGUGUUCACCAUUUAACAAAGAAUAAAGAUAACAUUCAUAAACUUUAAAUUUUCU